rnacentral:rRNA from 1 species
UACGUAGGUGGCAAGCGUUGUUCGGAAUUAUUGGGCGUAAAGGGCGCGUAGGCGGGCCGCCAAGUUCGAGGUGAAAUCCUCCGGCUCAACCGGAGAACUGCCUCGAAUACUGGAGGCCUCGAGGCGGGUAGGGGCGUGCGGAACUGUGGGUGGAGCGGUGAAAUGCGUUGAUAUCCACAGGAACUCCGGUGGCGAAGGCGGCACGCUGGACCCGAUCUGACGCUGAGGCGCGAAAGCCAGGGGAGCAAACGGG